GUAAUUAUGGCUUUGGAGCAGAGAGGAUGGGAGCUGGGAUGUACUUUAGGGUAGAGUCAGCUCACUGGUUCAUACUGUGAAGAAGCUGUGAAGGUGGAAAAUACCUCCUUGCCUUGGUGACUGCAUUUCCUGUGCAAAGGACUGCCAAGUAACAGCUGCUCAUGAAUGCUGCUCCCCACCACGGCUAAUCCAGCAGCAAGCCCUCCAACGACACUGGUGACUCUGGCUGAUGCUCUCCUGUCCCAUCCUCACCAGAUAUUGGCUUUCCCAUUCCUCGGGUCAAACUGCUGCUACUUCACAGUGCGCUUCAUCUUCUGGAAUGAGCUGUGUUUACAGUUGCUUCAAGGACAAGGAACAACACUUCCAUGAUGCUUCUGUUGCCUCGGUGUUGGAGUUGCAAAUAAUUCCUGUCUGGUUUCACGUACUGGCCUUGGAGCAGCGAUGGAGGCUCCGGUCCUGACCGGGAGAGCACAACUCCAGCCAUGUGAGUAAGAAACUCCCUGCAGACACAGCGCCCCUUGGGCACUGCCUGGGGACACUGUGCCUCCAAGGACACUUUUUACCUUAAGUUGGCACCCUCAGCAGCUGACACAGGCCAAGCUGCUGAUUCG